rnacentral:lncRNA from 1 species
GAACGCUAGCCAGACCUUCUUGGGGAUCUCACUCGGGUCGACCGUCCACGCCCAGAGCUCGAUGUGCCUGGAAUCCGCCGGCUGGACGAGGUCGGUGACGAUGUGCUGCAGUGCACAUUUGUGGCCGAUGACGCGCUCGACGAUCUCCGGCGUCCAGGCGUGGCGCGGGAUGCCGUCGAGGCAGAGUCGCACCCGGUAGAAGAUGCGGAAGCCGAGGGCGUGGGUGAGGCUGCGCCAUGGCCGGAGGCAGAUGUCAAGUCCCCCGCCGGUGAAGCGUCC